rnacentral:ncRNA from 1 species
ACCUUCGACUCGGGGUGCCCGAUAGUGAUUAACGCUAUCCGUGGCUGAGACAUCACCCGUAUUACCUGAUCUGGAUUAUGCCAGCGUAGGGAAGUCACAGUAUCCCACC